rnacentral:tRNA from 1 species
GUCUGCCUGGCUCAGUCGGUGGGGCAUGGGACUCUUGAUCUCAGGGUUAUGGGUUUGAGCCCCAUGCUGGGUG